CCAUAUCACGUUGAAACACCAGUUCUCGUACGAUCACCGAAGUUAAGCAAUGUCGAGCCUGGUCAGUACCUAGAUGGGUGACUGCUUGGGAGUAUCAGGUGCUGCAAG